rnacentral:rRNA from 1 species
CCCAGACUCCUACGGGAGGCAGCAGUGGGGAAUAUUGCGCAAUGGGGGAAACCCUGACGCAGCAACGCCGCGUGAGUGAAGAAGUAUCUCGGUAUGUAAAGCUCUAUCAGCGGGGAAGAAGGAAGACGGUACCCGACUAAGAAGCCCCGGCUAACUACGUGCCAGCAGCCGCGGUAAUACGUAGGGGGCGAGCGUUAUCCGGAUUUACUGGGUGUAAAGGGAGCGUAGGCGGCCUGCCAAGUCUGAUGUGAAAUACCGGGGCUCAACCCCGGGGCUGCAUUGGAAACUGGCAGGCUGGAGUGCCGGAGAGGCAGGCGGAAUUCCUGGUGUAGCGGUGAAAUGCGUAGAUAUCAGGAGGAACACCGGCGGCGAAGGCGGCCUGCUGGACCGUAACUGACGUUGAGGCUCGAAAGCGUGGGGAGCAAACAGGAUUAGAUACCCGAGUAUC